rnacentral:rRNA from 1 species
UAAUACAGAGGGGGCAAGCGUUGUCCGGAUUUACUGGGCGUACAGCGCGCGCAGGCGGACCUGGACGUGCCGUGUGACAGCCCACCGCUCACCGGUGGAAGGCCACGGUACACGACAGGUCUGGAGGCAGGGAGAGGGAUGUGGAAUGCCCGGUGGAGCGGUGAAAUGCGUAGAGAUCGGGCGGAACACCAGCGGCGAAGGCGGCAUCCUGGCCCUGACCUGACGCUGAGGCGCGAGAGCGUGGGGAGCAAACUGGAUUAGAUACCCAGGUAGUCCACGCCGUAAACGAUGUGUACCCGGCGCUGGGGAGUGAUUGCGCUCCUCGGUGCCUGCGCUUACGCACUGAGUACACCGCCUGGGGACUACGGCCGCAAGGCUA